UGCAGAUGAUGUAAAAGAAUAUUUGCUAUCUUAACAUCUUUGAUGAUAUUCUUCCACCAAGAUCGCUGAUGCA